rnacentral:rRNA from 1 species
UACGGAGAAGGCGAGCGUUGUUCGGAAUCACUGGGCUUAAAGCGCGUGUAGGCGGGCCUGUUAGUCGGGUGUGAAAUCCCUCGGCUUAACCGGGGAACUGUGCCCGAAACUGCGGGUCUUGAGUCAAUCAGGGGUCGAUGGAACUCCAGGUGGAGCGGUGAAAUGCGUAGAUAUCUGGAGGAACGCCAGUGGCGAAAGCGGUCGACUGGGAUUGUACUGACGCUGAGACGCGAAAGCGUGGGGAGCGAACGGGAUUAGAUACCCCCGUA